GUAAUGAUCCGGUGAGUUAUAAUAGUGCUUAUAAUGAUAAUUGGAAUGGAUCAUCUGAGUAUGAGACAACUUCUGCAUCUGUUGCUUACUCUGUCUACACCAUGUCUGAGCCUAAGCACUUGUUCUACGAUCCGAAUGUCUACACGACCUACGAGUCUCCUCCUCAGUUUAGCAUCUAUCGCUCUGUUCAAGGCUUCAACGAGCCUGAAUUCGAAGAGUACGAUCCGACGCCGUAUGGUGGUGGCUACGAUAUCGCUGCAACCUACGGGAAACCUCUUCCUCCAUCGGUGAAAAUCUGUUACCCUUCUUCAACAUCUGCUCAGGGAAACCCUCCUUCUCCUCCAGAGGUUAUAGCUCCUGUUCCUCUAGGAAUAUAUGAUGGUGGUGGUGAAAAGAAAGUUGUUAAGAAACGUGUAACGUUCUCUGAGCCGUUAGAGGAAGCUAGACCAUUGGAAACCACUAAACAAGAUGAUCAUCAAGAAGAAGAAGAGGGGGAUGAGGAUGAGGAUGAAUCAGAAGAAGAAGAUGAAGAAGAUGAUCACAGUUCAAGCUAUGGAACUACUACUAAACCUGAAAGUGUAGAUACAGGAGAAGUGAAAGCUGUGUAUGUUCAUCAGGAAGAAGAGGAAAAAGAUGAUAGUUUAAGCUACGGAACUAGUAAACCUGAUACUGAAGAUAAAGGAGAAGUGAAAGCUGUGUAUGUUCCGUCAGGUUACGGCCUAGAAGCGACGGAUAUGUGCGAGGUGAUAUUCGGAGGCUAUUUUCCUUGUGUCUUACGUAACAAAAGACUCCAGGAGGAUCAAAAACGUGCGGCUGAAGUUUCUUGCUGGGAGAGCACAGAUUCUGAUCCGUGGAAGACGACUUCAGACUACCUUUUCGGGGAUUCGUAUCCGUAUGGUUAUGAGAAUAGGCUCGAGAGAAGUCAGUUCGAGAUAUCAUCUUAUGGUUACCAGAGGUAUUAACCGGGAGCUAUAGCUUCAGAAGAACACAAAUUUUUUAUAUGAUUAAUGAAGCUGAUGUAUUAGCAAUUUAGCAUGUAAGUUAUAUAUAUGCUUACAUGCUCUUUCUUUUCAUGGUUGGUCCAACGUUCUUAUGAAAAGAUAUUCAAGGUUGAUCAAUAAAUAAAUGUUACAACAAAGCAUGGUGUGUAGUUAGUAGUUACUAGUUAGACAUGUCAAUUUGGAAUAUAGAUCUUGAAAUACUAUUUUGUUUAUAAUAAAAAUAUGAUGUAAAACAAUAUAUAAUUAAAUAUUAAUCAAGCAAACACAUUUGUAUAAAAGUAUAUUCUAAAAUAUUUCUAAUGAAAUUUUUUUAUCCUAUUUAAAUAAUUUUACAUUUGAUUUAAAAUUCUUAAAACCUUUAAUAAUAAUUUAUUAUGUUAGUUUUUAAAUUAAAAUAUAUAAAUGAAUAAAUAUUCAUGAGAAGAUUAUGCCAUCGGCAAACACCUAGUUUGGUAUCAUGGGGUAUCGCGGUUCGACCAUUGGUCAUAAUUCUAAAAUUUUCAAUUUCCCCUUACCCAGCUUCCAAACCGAAUAAAUUAAAGACCGUCGAUAAACAAAACCGAAUCAAACCGGACCCAACCAGAUAUCACCCCAAACAACGUCGUUUGGAGAAUCGUCUCAAAACACAGUCAUCGUCAAGCCCUUUUGUGUUAUUCCUUCACCUAUUAAAAAGGAAAGCGUGAACUGAAGCAGUAAACCCUAAAACUCCCAAGCUGAGAAAAAAAGAUUGAGAGAGAGACCAAGUUUUGGAGGUUUCAGUGCGUAACUCAAGAAUCAAGAUGAUCAUCCCGGUUCGCUGCUUUACCUGUGGAAAGGUUUUUUUUUUUAACUUUACUCGACAUUCGACAAACAAGACAUCUCUGCUCUCUCUUAGCUGAUGUGAAUGUUUCUCGGUCGAUUAGAUAAACUCGUUUCGAGGGAUAAAGUUUUGACCUUUACUAAGAUUUGAUAUUUGUGUAGGUGAUUGGAAACAAGUGGGAUGCCUAUCUUGAUCUUCUCCAGCUCGACUACACUGAAGGGUAAGAUGAUUCUUUUUUAUUCAUACUUUGUGGUGAAAGGAGACUACUUUAUUUUGAAUUUUGAGAGAUAUUAGUUCAGAUGAGGGAGCAUAAUGAGGCACAAGUAUGAGAUUAGUUAACAGCAGAAACGAAACCAAUCAUAGAGUUUUGUUGUUCAAGGAUUUAGCUUUUCAUUUAAUCUUCUGUUUGUGUGCCCCCAUCUACUUUUGAUAUUUAGUAGUUUGUAGAUUUUUUUUGCAUUGUUAAAGAGUCGAAAGUAAAAUUUGGUUUGCUUUUGAUUAUGUUCUGUUCUUCAUAUGUUAUUGGAAGAGACUAUUAUGCAUAUCUUGUUUAUGUCAUUAGUGAACACUUUAUUUCGUUUUAGCCUCUUCUUGUUUGUUUGUUUGUUGCUCGGUCAAUAAAAAAGGUUACAAUGUGCUUUUUGCAGGGACGCACUUGAUGCGCUCAACUUAGUUAGGUACUGCUGUAGGCGUAUGCUCAUGACUCAUGUUGAUCUGAUUGAGAAGCUUCUCAACUAUAACAGUACAGUCUUCUUACUCUCUAUGUUUUUCUUUUGAGCUUUUUUUUGUCAUUAUGGAUUUAUACUGACAUCACUAUUUAUUUCAUUGCAGCUCUGGAAAAAUCAGACAACUCUUAAGAAAAGAGUAAGUAGGAAGAUGCAAAUCGUCAGAGGCCUAUAUACUAAAAAAACAUGUAUGAAACUCUCUGUGUUUGGUUUAGAAACUUCAAUCAAUCCGAGUCAUAUGUUGGUUUUAGACCGACGUUACCAUUUUGUCAUAUGUAUGUCAAUGCCUCUACUACGUGUUAUUAAUUUUUCUGAGCUGAAAGAUUUGCUAUCGUUCUAAGGAAUUCAUCUUUCAUUAGUUCUCAUGCAUUCAUGGGUUUUUUUUUUUUUUAACUUUCUCCUGAGUUCUUAGUAUCCUUGUGAAUUGGAAUUUAGAGAAACAAAAUGGAUAGGAUUUACGAGCUCAAAGCAAUGAGAAGGAGGUGAAAAAUGAUACUCUUCAAGAUCAAAUAUGCGACGACUACAAAUAUUUAAACAAAGAAAAUGGUGAACAUCAAUAACAAUAAUAGAUCUUCAAUAAAGACACUUCAUCCUCGUAGUGUUUUUCAUUGGAGUAGAAUUACAACGCUGGCUGUCCUCUUACCUCGAUAUUCAAUCGAAUCAGUUUAAAGCCUUUAGCUCCUGCACCCUAGAGGCACCACCGGCCACAUGGCAAAAGCCAGAGAGUCUUGGGCUACAAGGGGCAGAGCUUUUGAGCAGCAUAAGAAAAUUAAAGAAGUCAGGGAGGAAAGAACCCAUAGAGACCGUGGUUAUCGCGGUUUCCUUCCGGAAAAUUUGAAGCACGGAGGAACAGAGUUUUGACCCUGCCGUACUUCCGUUACUCCGGGAGAAAUCCAUGAUAUCCACGUCUUUGUGGGUUCCCUUCUCGCUGGCCAAAGCCAUUACUUUGCUUCCUGAAGCUCGGCUGAAUAUAUAUAUAUAUAUACUAAACUAACGAAUACCUCAUGAGGUUGCUUUCUUUUUGUAGACAUUAAGAUUUACGUUUCUUUGAAAGAUAACGAUACGUUUUAAGAUGCAUUCAAAUGGAGAUUUGAACAUUUAUGAUUUGAUCUUUGAUUAUGAAAUGAACAUUUAUCGUGGAAAUAAAGAUUUACGUUUGUUUGAAAAGAUAACGUACUCUAUUUUGUAGACAAACGCACAGAGUUUUUUUUUAUUAUGCUCGCAUACACUACACAAUGGUCCGAUCUAGUACACUGCAGAUUUGCACAGCAUGGAAGAGGCAAAGAAGAAUAUGUAUGCAUUCAGUACCACUACGUAUACUGGUUUCCAAUGCACCAUUGACGAAGAAACAUCUGAGAAGUUCAAGGGUGAGUUUUACUGAUUAUGGAAAGCUUCUAUUUUCUUACUGAAAGUUAUUCGAAGAUAAAAUGACUGCUCGUUCUUGAAAAAAUUCAUAGGUUUGCCUGGAGUUCUCUGGGUUUUGCCGGACUCCUACAUAGAUGUCAAGAACAAGGACUAUGGAGGUAACCCUAUACAAAGCCUCUUAACUGAUUUACAAUAUGUCUCUCUCUCUCUCUCUCUAACCUGUAUCCCUGUUUAGGCGACAAGUACAUCAAUGGAGAGAUUAUCCCCUGCACUUACCCAACCUACCAACCAAAGCAGCGCAAUAACUCCAAGUAUCAAAGUAAGAGGUACGAAAGAAAAAGAGACGGUCCACCACCUCCUGAGCAGCAGAGGAAACCAAGACAAGCACCACCACCACCCGCUUCUGAUUCCUCUUGAACGUCUGUCCCUUUGUACCGGAGUGUGUGAGAUUUUGAUCGAUGGAUUAGUCCCUAGCUUAUUCUAACCGGAUGUAAUCUGUGAUGAUAAUUGAUAAGACAGGCCCUUUGGUUUUGGUUACGGUUCGUUCCGGUUAACUUUGUAGCAAGGAAUCUCUGCCCACCGCCCGUUUCCACGUUUUCUUAAUACUUAAAUUCCAGACAAGACAAGAAAGUUGCGUUUGGUGGCAACUUUACCUGUAGGGUCACAACACACUCGUCACCAUCUGCAUCCGAGUUGUCCCCCACCUUAUCAACACAUCACAUGGAAUAAUACCCUACUACAUUGACUUAUAACCAAACGUUUCAAAUCAAUGUUCCACCUAAUCUUCUUCUUUCACCAAUAGCAGAGCAAGAAGUGACUUUCAAGAUCAUCAUUGAAGCUCUCUGAGGAUCAAAUUUCAAGAUGGCCAACUACUAUGAGCAUUACCAGAUCCCAUACGAUUCCAAUCAGGUUAAUAGUCUCUAUGAUCAUAACUAUUACGAUAACAAUCAACUGCAGCAGUUUGGUUUCGAGCCAAUGAGUUAUAAUAGUUAUGAUCCAGUGAGUUAUAAUAGUAAUGAUCCGGUGAGUUAUAAUAGUGCUUAUAAUGAUAAUUGGAAUGGAUCAUCUGAGUAUGAGACAACUUCUGCAUCUGUUGCUUACUCUGUCUACACCAUGUCUGAGCCUAAGCACUUGUUCUACGAUCCGAAUGUCUACACGACCUACGAGUCUCCUCCUCAGUUUAGCAUCUAUCGCUCUGUUCAAGGCUUCAACGAGCCUGAAUUCGAAGAGUACGAUCCGACGCCGUAUGGUGGUGGCUACGAUAUCGCUGCAACCUACGGGAAACCUCUUCCUCCAUCGGUGAAAAUCUGUUACCCUUCUUCAACAUCUGCUCAGGGAAACCCUCCUUCUCCUCCAGAGGUUAUAGCUCCUGUUCCUCUAGGAAUAUAUGAUGGUGGUG
rnacentral:lncRNA from 1 species